rnacentral:rRNA from 1 species
GACGAACGCUGGCGGCGUGCUUAACACAUGCAAGUCGAGCGAAGUAUUAACUGUAGCAAUACAGUUGAUACUUAGCGGCAGACGGGUGAGUAACACGUAGACAAUCUACCUUCUAGAGGGGGAUAGCCCGCCGAAAGGCGGGGUAAUACCGCGUAAGAUCAGGACCCGGCAUCGGGAUUUGAUGGAACAUCCGCAAGGAUGGCUAGAAGAGGAGUCUGCGGCCUAUCAGCUAGUUGGCGGGGUAAUGGCCCACCAAGGCAACGACGGGUAUCCGACCUGAAAGGGUGACCGGACACACUGACACUGAGACACGGGUCAGACUCCUACGGGAGGCAGCAGUGAGGAAUUUUGGACAAUGGGGAAACCCUGAUCCAGCGACGCCGCGUGAAGGAUGAAGGUCUUCGGAUCGUAAACUUCUUUUGCCUGGGAAUAACUGCUCUGUAGAAAUAUGGAGAUUGAAUGUACCAGGCGAAUAAGCCACGGCUAACUUCGUGCCAGCCGCCGC